rnacentral:rRNA from 1 species
UACGAAGGGGGCUAGCGUUGCUCGGAAUCACUGGGCGUAAAGCGCACGUAGGCGGCUUACUAAGUCAGGGGUGAAAUCCUGGAGCUCAACUCCAGAACUGCCUUUGAUACUGGUGAGCUUGAGUCCGGAAGAGGUGAGUGGAACUGCGAGUGUAGAGGUGAAAUUCGUGGAUAUUCGCAAGAACACCAGUGGCGAAGGCGGCUCACUGGUCCGGUACUGACGCUGAGGUGCGAAAGCUAGGGGAGCAAACGGG